rnacentral:tRNA from 1 species
GCUUAAGUAUUUUAAUUAAAAUAUUGUUUUGUGGAGUCAAUGAUAUGAAUAUCAAUUCAUCUUAGGUC